rnacentral:rRNA from 1 species
AACGCUAGCUACAGGCUUAACACAUGCAAGUCGAGGGGCAGCAUGGUCUUAGCUUGCUAAGGCCGAUGGCGACCGGCGCACGGGUGAGUAACACGUAUCCAACCUGCCGUCUACUCUUGGACAGCCUUCUGAAAGGAAGAUUAAUACAAGAUGGCAUCAUGAGUCCGCAUGUUCACAUGAUUAAAGGUAUUCCGGUAGACGAUGGGGAUGCGUUCCAUUAGAUAGUAGGCGGGGUAACGGCCCACCUAGUCUUCGAUGGAUAGGGGUUCUGAGAGGAAGGUCCCCCCCAUUGGAACUGAGACACGGUCCAAACUCCUACGGGAGGCAGCAGUGAGGAAUAUUGGUCAAUGGGCGAGAGCCUGAACCAGCCAAGUAGCGUGAAGGAUGACUGCCCUAUGGGUUGUAAACUUCUUUUAUAAAGGAAUAAAGUCGGGUAUGGAUACCCGUUUGCAUGUACUUUAUGAAUAAGGAUCGGCUAACUCCGUGCCAGCAGCCGCGGUAAUACGGAGGAUCCGAGCGUUAUCCGGAUUUAUUGGGUUUAAAGGGAGCGUAGAUGGAUGUUUAAGUCAGUUGUGAAAGUUUGCGGCUCAACCGUAAAAUUGCAGUUGAUACUGGAUAUCUUGAGUGCAGUUGAGGCAGGCGGAAUUCGUGGUGUAGCGGUGAAAUGCUUAGAUAUCACGAAGAACUCCGAUUGCGAAGGCAGCCUGCUAAGCUGCAACUGACAUUGAGGCUCGAAAGUGUGGGUAUCAAACAGGAUUAGAUACCCUGGUAGUCCACACGGUAAACGAUGAAUACUCGCUGUUUGCGAUAUACGGCAAGCGGCCAAGCGAAAGCGUUAAGUAUUCCACCUGGGGAGUACGCCGGCAACGGUGAAACUCAAAGGAAUUGACGGGGGCCCGCACAAGCGGAGGAACAUGUGGUUUAAUUCGAUGAUACGCGAGGAACCUUACCCGGGCUUAAAUUGCAGAUGAAUUACGGUGAAAGCCGUAAGCCGCAAGGCAUCUGUGAAGGUGCUGCAUGGUUGUCGUCAGCUCGUGCCGUGAGGUGUCGGCUUAAGUGCCAUAACGAGCGCAACCCUUGUUGUCAGUUACUAACAGGUUCUGCUGAGGACUCUGACAAGACUGCCAUCGUAAGAUGUGAGGAAGGUGGGGAUGACGUCAAAUCAGCACGGCCCUUACGUCCGGGGCUACACACGUGUUACAAUGGGGGGUACAGAGGGCCGCUACCACGCGAGUGGAUGCCAAUCCCAAAAACCUCUCUCAGUUCGGACUGGAGUCUGCAACCCGACUCCACGAAGCUGGAUUCGCUAGUAAUCGCGCAUCAGCCACGGCGCGGUGAAUACGUUCCCGGGCCUUGUACACACCGCCCGUCAAGCCAUGGGAGCCGGGGGUACCUGAAGUGCGUAACCGCGAGGAGCGCCCUAGGGUAAAACUGGUGACUGGGGC